UGCAGUCGAACGAUGAUCCCAGCUUGCUGGGGGAUUAGUGGCGAACGGGUGAGUAACACGUGAGUAACCUGCCCUUGACUCUGGGAUAAGCCUGGGAAACUGGGUCUAAUACCGGAUACGACCAUCUGGCGCAUGUCAUGGUGGUGGAAAGCUUUUGUGGUUUUGGAUGGACUCGCGGCCUAUCAGCUUGUUGGUGGGGUAAUGGCCUACCAAGGCGACGACGGGUAGCCGGCCUGAGAGGGUGACCGGCCACACUGGGACUGAGACACGGCCCAGACUCCUACGGGAGGCAGCAGUGGGGAAUAUUGCACAAUGGGCGCAAGCCUGAUGCAGCGACGCCGCGUGAGGGAUGACGGCCUUCGGGUUGUAAACCUCUUUCAGUAGGGAAGAAGCGUAAGUGACGGUACCUGCAGAAGAAGCGCCGGCUAACUACGUGCCAGCAGCCGCGGUAAUACGUAGGGCGCAAGCGUUAUCCGGAAUUAUUGGGCGUAAAGAGCUCGUAGGCGGUUUGUCGCGUCUGCUGUGAAAGACCGGGGCUCAACUCCGGUUCUGCAGUGGGUACGGGCAGACUAGAGUGCAGUAGGGGAGACUGGAAUUCCUGGUGUAGCGGUGAAAUGCGCAGAUAUCAGGAGGAACACCGAUGGCGAAGGCAGGUCUCUGGGCUGUAACUGACGCUGAGGAGCGAAAGCAUGGGGAGCGAACAGGAUUAGAUACCCUGGUAGAA
rnacentral:rRNA from 1 species